AGAACGAACGCUGGCGGCAGGCUUAACACAUGCAAGUCGAGCGCCCAGCAAUGGGAGCGGCGGACGGGUGCGUAACACGUGGGAACAUGCCUUUCGGUACGGAACAACUGCGGGAAACUGCAGCUAAUGCCGUAUACGCCCUUACGGGGAAAGAUUUAUCGCCGAAAGAUUGGCCCGCGUCUGAUUAGCUAGUUGGUGAGGUAACGGCUCACCAAGGCUUCGAUCAGUAGCUGGUUUGAGAGAACGACCAGCCACACUGGGACUGAGACACGGCCCAGACUCCUACGGGAGGCAGCAGUGGGGAAUCUUGGACAAUGGGCGAAAGCCUGAUCCAGCCAUGCCGCGUGAGUGAUGAAGGCCUUCGGGUUGUAAAACUCUUUUACCUGGGAAGAUAAUGACUGUACCAGGAGAUAAGCCCCGGCUAACUUCGUGCCAGCAGCCGC
rnacentral:rRNA from 1 species